rnacentral:misc_RNA from 1 species
UGAAAGAAGAAAAAGCAAAAUAAUAGAGUAAUUUUCAUUAACUGUUAUUUCUUUUAAAUUAUUUGAAAGUUUCCUCAUUAGUUAUUAUUUAGUUAAUAAUAUAUGUGCAAAAAAUAUAUUUAUUUCGGUCAAAUGACCGGAACGUGUAUAUUAACGUUAAUUAAACUCAAACAUUUUAUCUGGAUUCAUGUAUAUAAUAUAUGUAAAUAUAAAAUAAAAUUACCUGUAACAUAAAAUAAAAAAUACUUAUAAAAGUCAAAUUAAAUAUUAUAUUCGUUGCAGAUGACACAAUCAAAUUAUCGAAAAUAUUGUCGAACAAUUAUUUGACACAUAAUAUUCAUAAUUUCUAUAAAGAACUUGAUUCAAAGAUUUACAAUAAUUUAGAACAUCAAAACUUGUAUGUGUUAGAUUUGGAUUGUGAUUACGCCACAAAUAUUUUACGACAGGUAACAUAUUUAUGUAUGUUAUAAAUACAUUAUUGGUAAAAGUAUAUAAAGUAGACAAAGGUGUUCUUUAUUAUUAUCUUAUUCUAGGAUUUUAUAAAUUCUAGAAUAAGAUAAUAAUAAAAAAUAAAGUCAAUAUUAACAAAUAAAAAGAGCUUUCUAUUUUGCUGAUACUUUGAUUGAUGCAAGUAAUUUCGUCGUUGUUUUAUAUCAAUUUUCUAAUUUAUCAUUUAUAUCGAUAUCUCUCUGAUAUUAAUCUGUCUGAAAUGACAGGCACAUUCGAAAAGAAUGUUUGUCGCCCCGAUGAAGUGGCUACUUUUUCAAGAUCGAAAAACGAUAAUUGGCAACGAGGAUAAUACCAAUUCAACUUUCACAUAUGAUGACUCUAUAUUGAAAAUCUUCGAUAAUUUGGCAAUUUAUCCUGAUAGCGACGUGAUCAUCGCGAAAAGACUUGACGGCAAUUUUUUUGAAUUAUUGUCCGUAUACCGACCAAGUUCACAACGAGGAGUGAUAUGGGAAAAUCGUGGAAAUUGGACGAUCGAGAACGGUCUAAAAAUGAGAACUCUCGAAGUGGCUUCAGCACGAAGAAAAAAUCUUCAACAGACGGCUCUUAAAUCGUGUCUCGUGGUAACAAACCCAAAUACGAUCAAUCAUCUGACUGAUUUCAAGGAUAAAACCGUAGAUCCUGUUACAAAGGCUAAUUAUCCUUGGAUACUACAUAUAGUGAACAGAAUGAAUGCAACGGUAAGUUUCGAAGUUACAAACAGCUGGGGAUAUCGCACAGAGAAUGGCUCUUGGAGCGGAAUGAUAGGGAUGUUGGAGCGGCAAGAGAUCGAUAUCGGUGGCACCGCCACAUUUCUCGUGCCGGAACGUAUAGGUGUUGUGCAAUACAUUCAAUUGUAUACACAUACUUGCUCACGGUUCGUAUUUCGGCGACCUUUACUAUCGACUAUAAGCAAUAUAUUUAUUCUGCCCUUUCAAAAAAACGUCUGGAUAGCGAUUGCAAUAUUUCUUAUUUUGGUCUUCUGCUUGCUCUAUUUAUCCAUCAAAUGGGAAUAUUAUCGCUAUAAAAUGACAGAAUCGGCAACCUACUGGAAUCAAUUAAAUUCCAACAAACCAACAGUCAGCGAUAAUAUUCUUAUUCUUUUGGGCGCAUUUACUCAGCAAGGACAUUCGUAUGAACCCUACAGAAUUUCGUCUCGAAUCGUCACUUUUAUGUUAUUGUUGGCCUCGCUGAGUCUCUAUGCGGCUUAUACAGCCAAUAUCGUGAGUUUGCUGCAAUCUACCACAGAUUCUAUCAAAACUCUUUCAGAUCUCCUAAAUAGCCCUUUACAACUGGCUGCACAAGAUGUAGUAUACAACAAAUAUUAUUUCAAGGCUUUUCAAGAUCCUAUUAGAAAGGCGAUCCGGGACCGAGUCGAACCGAAAGGACGCAAAUCUAAUUGGAUGCCUAUAGAAGAAGGUGUCUAUCGUCUAAGAAAAGGACUCUUCGCAUUCCAAGGAGAAAUCGGUACAAUUUAUCAAUUGAUGCAAGACACGUAUUUGGAAGAAGAGAAGUGCGGUUUGACUGAGAUCGAUUUCCUAAAAGUUUUAUAUCCGCUUCUCGCGAUACAAGUGCAGUCACCCUACUCAGAGAUAAUAAAAACUGGAGCUCUAAAAUUACGAGAAUAUGGACUCAAAUAUCGUGAAGAGUAUCGUUUGUAUACAAGAAAACCAGUGUGUUCGAGUCAAACCAGCUUUAUCUCUAUCGGUUUCACGGAAUGUCAUUUCGCGUUGGUCACAAUGGGUUAUGGAAUACUCUUCGCUGUAAUCGUGUUGGCGUUCGAGUUAUUGUGGCACAAGAGGCAAACUAUGCGCGCAAUAAAACAGAUGUCAAACGAAGAAAUCAAUACUGUGGAAUACCUUGAUUAAAUGUGUUUUAAAAUAAAUAUAUACUAGUCUAAAAGAGAUAGUUGACUUUUCUAAGUUUUCUACCGCACUAAUCUUUUAAUGACGAACUAUAAUAAUCGAUUGCAAAUUGUCUUAUGUACUAUGUAAUGCACAGACUCCUGUAUAAUGAUAAUCAAUGCUGCCGGCAUCACAAAGAAAUUAAUGACAUCACAGAUACAUCACACCAUAAAUAUCUAUAGAUCUGUUCGUGUUGCUUAAAAUUUCCAAAAUUUUUUACACUCAAAACUAGAUAAAUAUACAUUUAAGCAUUGGAAAGAGAGAAAACAAAGAUGUUGAGUGCAAACAACACAAAUAGGUGUAUUUCCUAAAUCGCUAACAUAUGACCAAGAGUUAUUUUGGGCCGGAUAUCCGAUUUGAGGCAUUUUGAAGUCAAGCAAAUGGCAGCAUACAUGAUGUUCUACGUGAUUUUCGUCACUAUUGUUAGAUAAGAUCACGUUUGCGCACUAAUAUAUUUAUUACUGCCAUUUAAUUUCAAUCACACAAGUCUGCUGUAACUAAACCGCAAAUUAACGAUAUAGUAUAAAUAUCUGUGGUCACAUAUAAAAUAUUUAUGAUAAAACAAAGUAAUACAAAAGAGUUAUUUUAUACUCUUGUUUUCUGAUCGUAAUUCAAACAUAUAAAAAAAACUUCACCAAAAUUAUGUACAAAAACGUUAAACUUAACCUAUAGAGAACCGUUUUUGGACGACUUUUUAAUUUUAGUGCUAAGACAUUUUUGUCCUUGUCAAGUAAGUUAAACUACAAAAAAGAUGGCAUCGCUCCAGCGCCUAACAUUAGGCUUCCGAUUCCGAAAAAAUGAGUAGUUAUUUUGUUGGUGUAUUUAAACUUUAUAUUAUUGUUGUUAAAAUAAUUGUUUAACGUCAUUUACAACUAAAAUGUGUUGAAAAAUAUGUAUAAAAAUAGAAUCAUGUCGCACUUUGUGAGAUAUCAGACAAUAAAAUGUCAUUAUACAAAGUAACGUCAAUUUAUUUCAAAAUAGAUGCACAUGUUAUAAUGAAAGAAGUAAUUUUGGCUAAACAAAUAGUGUUUUCGGUAAAUCUAAUUACUUAUAAGCCUAAUAUUAGGUUUCCGGUCCCGGAAAGAUUAUUUUAUUUUAUUUUAUAUUCGUAAGUUUCAUAUCCUUGGAUAUUUCUCAUUUAUUCACUGAUUAGUGUAGUUUUAUUUACGCAUUAUCAAUUCUGUAGUUAUAAUUAAUAAUUGUUAUAAUUCUGUAUUUAUGUAUUAAUGUUAUAAUUAAUAUUUGCAGUAAUGUUAUAUUAUGUUUAAUAAUUAUGUUAAGAAUGUGUGAGUUAAUUCAAAUUCUUUUUCAACUUUUGUUACUAUUAUUCGUUAAAUAAAAAUUUUUCUAUGUGAUCAUAAUAACUCAAUAACUGCUCCCUAUAGUGUUCCAGAUAUAGCGUAUCUUGGAUCAUUUCUUUCUCAAAAAUUAAUCUAUAUUUAUCGAAUGUACUCAAUAAAUGUUAAAAUAAACAUAAUUCUUUAAUUAUAUAGAAAAUAAAAUAAAAAAUCUCUUAGAGCAGAUAGUUUAACAAAUUGAAUCGUUCUCGUGAAAGUCCCUAUUCUAAAAAUAUACUAAAAAUAUAUCUUGGAGAUAUCAGAUGAUUAUAAGUAGUGAUAGGAUCAAGUUUAAUAUAUACUUAAAAAUUCAAGUUAAAUCUACUAAUUAAGUUUUAUUUUCUAUUCAAAAUAAUAUUUUAUAUAUUGUACUUGCGAAAGUAAUCGAUACCGAUUAAUUAUUUAUGAGUUUAAGAAUGAGUACCUAUAUAAUGAUUCAAAAUGUACUUGUAAGUAAUUUCUAUGAUACAAAUCUAAUUUUGAGUAAAAUAUUCAAACUAUAAAUAACUAGAAAGAAAAAAAUUAGUAAAAUAAUAGGUAUAAAGUUUUUAGUAAAAUACUUAAAAAGAAUUUGAACAUAAUUGUUCCAGAUUCGAGUUUCUUUGAACUACUUUUAUUUUCCGAGAUAUUAGAUAAAGGAUUUGAAACAAAUUCAAGCCUACUUGUAGAUACUUAAUUCCUAAUCACUAAUUAUAAACAAGAGAUAACUGGAUUUUAUUUUAUUACAAUUGCGUCGUAAAUUAUGUCGCUACAAAAAUAUGUUGAUAAAUAUUUAUUAACAUAUUUUUGUAGUGAUUGUAUAAAUAAUAUUUGAAAAAUAAUAUAGAUACUUACUUUAAACAGACUGAAAAUCUUAAGGUUUUUAUGAUAUUAUAAAUAUAAUCUUGAAAUCACUUGCCUAUAAAAUACAAUAGAUGAAUCUCACUAGAUACAAUAGCUAACAGUCAAAAUCAGCGGCAAUAGUGAUCUUAGAAUUACACUAUGGCUGCGUUCCGAUAUUCACUGCCAGUUGCUGCAGUACUGAAAAUCUAUAGUUUACGUCACAUAUAUUGUAGAUUUUCAGUAUUAAAAGUAAAUAUCGGAACGCAGCCUAUAUAAAUAUAAUAUAUACAUAUAUAUAUUUUUUUUGUUUUAUAUAUGCUGCUUUCUAUUUAUGUUAAAGUAAGACUGAUUUACUCAGUAAUAUGAGUAUUUUAUACUCAGAUAGUCAUUACUCAAUGAUUUAAAGAAACAUGCAAGUGAUCACACUUAUUUUAAUAACAAAAUUAUCGCAAUAGAUAACCUUACUUUUAAAGUGAGUAUGCGAAACUCAGUAAAGCACUGUCUUAAAAUUGCUCAAAUUGUAAGAAAAAAACUCAGUUGAAUCUCAUUUGUGAGAAUGCAAAAGGAAUGUGCGUUCAAUUGAGUUAUGACAAGUCACAAAUGAGAAUUAUCUGAGUUUUGAUGUAAAUGGAAAGCAGCAAUAUAUAAUA